rnacentral:rRNA from 1 species
GACGAACGCUGGCGGCGUGCCUAAUACAUGCAAGUCGAACGCAGUGGGGACGGGUGAGUAAAACGUGGGUAACCUCACCCUCAGGGGGGAUCACACUUGGAAACAGGUGCUAAACCGAUACUGAUGGAUGGACCCUCGGUGCAUUAGCUAGUUGGUGAGGUAACGGCUCACCAAGGCCACGAUGCAUAGCCGACCUGAGAGGGUGAGCGGCAACACUGGGAAUGAGACACGGCCCAGACUCCUCCGGGAGGCAGCAGUAGGGAAUCUUCGGCAAUGGGCGAAAGUCUGACCGAGCAACGCCGCGUGAGUGAAGAAGGUUUUCGGAUCGUAAAACUCUGUUGUUAGAGAAGCGGUAUCUAACCAGAAAGACACGGCCAACUACGUGCCAGCAGCCGCGGUAAUUC